GACGAACCGUACAAACGUUAUUCGGAAUCACUGGGCUUAAAGGGUGCGUAGGCGGCGCGGUAAGUUGGGUGUGAAAUCCCUCGGCUCAACCGAGGAACUGCGCCCAAAACUACCGUGCUCGAGGGAGGUAGAGGUGAGCGGAACUUAGGGUGGAGCGGUGAAAUGCGUUGAUAUCCUAAGGAACACCGGUGGCGUAAGCGGCUCACUGGACCUCUUCUGACGCUGAGGCACGAAAGCUAGGGUAGCGAACGGG
rnacentral:misc_RNA from 1 species